UACGUAGGGUGCAAGCGUUAAUCGGAAUUACUGGGCGUAAAGCGUGCGCAGGCGGUUCGCUAAGACCGAUGUGAAAUCCCCGGGCUUAACCUGGGAACUGCAUUGGUGACUGGCGGGCUAGAGUAUGGCAGAGGGGGGUAGAAUUCCACGUGUAGCAGUGAAAUGCGUAGAGAUGUGGAGGAAUACCGAUGGCGAAGGCAGCCUCCUGGGCCAGCACUGACGCUCAUGCACGAAAGCGUGGGGAGCAAACAGG
rnacentral:rRNA from 1 species